rnacentral:tRNA from 1 species
GCAGAGAUGGUAGAGUGGUCGAAUACAGCAGUCUUGAAAACUGCCGAUGUGAAAGCAUCCGGGGGUUCAAAUCCCUCUCUCUGCGCCA